UUUCCGUAGGUGAACCUGCGGAAGGAUCAUUAGUGAAUUGAAUAUGUUAGCGGACCUCUUCGGAGUCCCGCAUCAAAUCAUAUCCAUAACACCUGUGAACUGUAAGGCUGUCUUGAAAACGAAAGUGAUCAGAGCGCCUGCCCAUUUUAUACAAACAUUAAAGUAACAAACGUAGUCUUAUUAUAAUCUAAUAAAACUUUCAACAACGGAUCUCUUGGCUCUC
rnacentral:misc_RNA from 1 species